rnacentral:rRNA from 1 species
AAUGAACGCUGGCGGCAUGCCUUACACAUGCAAGUCGAACGGCAGCAUGACCUAGCUUGCUAGGUUGAUGGCGAGUGGCGAACGGGUGAGUAAUGCAUCGGAACGUGCCUUUUAGUGGGGGAUAACGUGGCGAAAGUUACGCUAAUACCGCAUAUUCUCUGAGGAGGAAAGCCGGGGGCCUUCGGGCCUUGCGCUAGAAGAGCGGCCGAUGUCGGAUUAGCUAGUUGGUGAGGUAAAGGCUCACCAAGGCAACGAUCCGUAGCGGGUCUGAGAGGAUGAUCCGCCACACUGGGACUGAGACACGGCCCAGACUCCUACGGGAGGCAGCAGUGGGGAAUUUUGGACAAUGGGCGCAAGCCUGAUCCAGCCAUGCCGCGUGAGUGAAGAAGGCCUUCGGGUUGUAAAGCUCUUUCGGCUGGGAAGAAAUCGCACUCUCUAAUACAGGGUGUGGAUGACGGUACCAGCAUAAGAAGCACCGGCUAACUACGUG